rnacentral:rRNA from 1 species
AAAUCGGAGGAAAAGAAACCAACCGGGAUUGCCUUAGUAACGGCGAGUGAAGCGGCAAAAGCUCAAAUUUGAAAUCUGGUACCUUCGGUGCCCGAGUUGUAAUUUGGAGAGGGCAACUUUGGGGCCGUUCCUUGUCUAUGUUCCUUGGAACAGGACGUCAUAGAGGGUGAGAAUCCCGUGUGGCGAGGAGUGCGGUUCUUUGUAAAGUGCCUUCGAAGAGUCGAGUUGUUUGGGAAUGCAGCUCUAAGUGGGUGGUAAAUUCCAUCUAAAGCUAAAUAUUGGCGAGAGACCGAUAGCGAACAAGUACAGUGAUGGAAAGAUGAAAAGAACUUUGAAAAGAGAGUGAAAAAGUACGUGAAAUUGUUGAAAGGGAAGGGCAUUUGAUCAGACAUGGUGUUUUGUGCCCUCUGCUCCUUGUGGGUAGGGGAAUCUCGCAUUUCACUGGGCCAGCAUCAGUUUUGGUGGCAGGAUAAAUCCAUAGGAAUGUAGCUUGCCUCGGUAAGUAUUAUAGCCUGUGGGAAUACUGCCAGCUGGGACUGAGGACUGCGACGUAAGUCAAGGAUGCUGGCAUAAUGGUUAUAUGCCGCCCGUCUGAA